CCUACGGGAGGCAGCAGUGAGGAAUAUUGGUCAAUGGACGCGAGUCUGAACCAGCCAAGUAGCGUGACGGAUGACGGCCCUAUGGGUUGUAAACUUCUUUUAUGCGGGAAUAAAAUGAGUCACGUGUGACUUCUUGCAGGUACCGCAUGAAUAAGGAUCGGCUAACUCCGUGCCAGCAGCCGCGGUAAUACGGAGGGUCCGGGCGUUAUCCGGAUUUAUUGGGUUUAAAGGGAGCGCAGGCGGGUUGUUAAGUCAGUUGUGAAAGUUCGCGGCUCAACCGUAGAACUGCAGUUGAAACUGGGAGGCUUGAGUGCACGAGAGGUAGGCGGAAUUCGUGGUGUAGCGGUGAAAUGCUUAGAUAUCACGAAGAACUCCGAUUGCGAAGGCAGCCUACUGGAGCGCAACUGACGCUGAUGCUCGAAAGUGUGGGUAUCGAACAGGAUUAGAUACCCUUGUAGUC
rnacentral:rRNA from 1 species